GAUGAACGCUGGCGGCGUGCUUAACACAUGCAAGUCGAACGAAGCAUUUAAGACAGAUUACUUCGGUUUGAAGUCUUUUAUGACUGAGUGGCGGACGGGUGAGUAACGCGUGGGUAACCUGCCUCAUACAGGGGGAUAGCAGCUGGAAACGGCUGGUAAUACCGCAUAAGCGCACGGUAUCGCAUGAUACAGUGUGAAAAACUCCGGUGGUAUGAGAUGGACCCGCGUCUGAUUAGCUGGUUGGUGAGGUAACGGCCCACCAAGGCGACGAUCAGUAGCCGACCUGAGAGGGUGACCGGCCACAUUGGGACUGAGACAGGCCCAGACUCCUACGGGAGGCAGCAGUGGGGAAUAUUGCACAAUGGAGGAAACUCUGAUGCAGCGACGCCGCGUGAGUGAAGAAGUAG
rnacentral:rRNA from 1 species